rnacentral:lncRNA from 1 species
GAGUUUGCAGAGAAAAACAGCGCAGUAGAAUCAAUAGAUUAACAAUGGAGAAUCAACAACAGCAACAGCAAUGGAUGAUGAGCGCACAGGCCAGCAUAACCGCCACUCCCACAGUCACCUACUCUUCCCUCCCGUAUCACCAGCCCACCACUCACGAAGAAGUCCGCACUCUCUGGAUCGGCGAUUUGCCCUACUGGGCCGACGAGUCUUAUCUCAACUCCUGGUUCUCUCCCGCCGCCCAAUUGCUCUCUAUCAAAGUAAUUCGCAACAAACUCACGGGUCAACCCGAAGGUUAUGGCUUCGUCGAGUUUCCGUCUCACGCUAUCGCGGAGCGGAUUCUGCAGACGUACAAUGCGGCUCAAAUCCCCGGGACUGAAUUGACUUUUAGGUUGAAUUGGGCGUCUUUUGGGAUUGGGGAUAAGAGGCCUGAAGCGGGGCCUGAGCAUUCGAUUUUUGUGGGGGAUUUGGCGCCUGAGGUUACGGAUUUGUUGUUGCAGGAGACGUUUGCGGCGCAGUAUCCGUCGGUUAGGGGUGCUAAGGUUGUUACUGAUCCGGCGACUGGCCGGUCUAAGGGAUAUGGGUUUGUUAAAUUUGCGGAUGAGAAUGAGAGGAAUCGGUCCAUGACGGAAAUGAAUGGGGUUUAUUGUUCUACGAGGCCUAUGCGGAUUAGUGCAGCUACGCCUAAGAAGACUCCGGGAUUUCAACAGCCGUAUGCAGGAGCAGUUAAAGGUCUACUUUCUUCUUUCAAUUCUUAGUUGCCUAGUUUCUUGUAUUAAUAAGCAUUGCACCAUGUCUUCUAAAGCUGCCCACAGCUCACUCCAUCUGCACCACCCACGUCAGUCGUCACACUGUGAUCUAGUUAAGUUAGAUCAAAACUUACAUGAUUCGGAAACCCCAAUUCCUUACUGCAUAAACACAGUUCUGUAUGAUAAUCAAAAUUAUGAUAUUACAUCUUGUUUGCUUNCAAUUCAAUUAAUCACCGAUUAAUCCCUGUUCUGUGACUUCACCGAUUAAGUCCGAUUCCCGCUUUUUACAACACUAGGUCACCCUUUUAUUUAAUGGUCCUUGCUUGCCUGCCCUAAGAAUAAAAACAGACAGAGCGAGAGGGGGGAAAGAAAUUUGGGGGAGUUUGCAGAGAAAAACAGCGCAGUAGAAUCAAUAGAUUAACAAUGGAGAAUCAACAACAGCAACAGCAAUGGAUGAUGAGCGCACAGGCCAGCAUAACCGCCACUCCCACAGUCACCUACUCUUCCCUCCCGUAUCACCAGCCCACCACUCACGAAGAAGUCCGCACUCUCUGGAUCGGCGAUUUGCCCUACUGGGCCGACGAGUCUUAUCUCAACUCCUGGUUCUCUCCCGCCGCCCAAUUGCUCUCUAUCAAAGUAAUUCGCA